CCUACGGGAGGCAGCAGUGAGGAAUAUUGGUCAAUGGGCGCGAGCCUGAACCAGCCAAGUAGCGUGAAGGAUGACUGCCCUACGGGUUGUAAACUUCUUUUAUAAAGGAAUAAAGUGAGGCACGUGGGCCUUUUUGGAGGUACUUUAUGAAUAAGGAUCGGCUAACUCCGUGCCAGCAGCCGCGGUAAUACGGAGGAUCCGAGCGUUAUCCGGAUUUAUUGGGGUUAAAGGGAGCGUAGAGGGGUUGUUAAGUCAGUUGUGACAGUUUGCGGCUCACCCGUAAAAUUGCAAUUGAUACUGGCAGUCUUGAGUACAGUUGCGGUAGGCUGCAUUCGUUGUGUAGCGG
rnacentral:rRNA from 1 species